UACGAAGGGGGCUAGCGUUGCUCGGAAUCACUGGGCGUAAAGGGUGCGUAGGCGGGUCUUUAAGUCAGGGGUGAAAUCCUGGAGCUCAACUCCAGAACUGCCUUUGAUACUGAAGAUCUUGAGUUCGGGAGAGGUGAGUGGAACUGCGAGUGUAGAGGUGAAAUUCGUAGAUAUUCGCAAGAACACCAAUGGCGAAAGCACUCUGCUGGGCCGACACUGACACUGAGAGACGAAAGCUAGGGGAGCAAAUGGG
rnacentral:rRNA from 1 species